GAUCAAUUGUUCUCCAUGUGCCCUGAAGGUAGCACAAGAAGAAAUUGGCUUCAUUUGCAUCAAAGGGGAUUUAGGUUAGUCAUUAGGAAAACUUUCUAAUGAUAAGGAUAGUUAAGCAGUGGAAUAAGUUACCAAGGGAGGUUGUGGAAUCUCUGUCAUUGGAGGUCUUCAUGAAUACGUUAGACAAACACCUAUCAAGGAUGAUCUAGGUGUACUUGGUGCUGUUUCAGAGCAGCGAGAUGGACUAGAUGACCUCUCAAAGUCGCUUCCACUCCAACAUUUCUAUGAUGGCCAAAGUCCUCUUGCUUCUCAGAGGUUCCCUCUGACACGGCCCCUUGCUGCUGAGAGACUCCACACUGCUCCAUGCAUCCCGCCCUCAUUCUGGAAAGACCAGAACAAAGAGAUU
rnacentral:lncRNA from 1 species